rnacentral:rRNA from 1 species
AUUGAACGCUGGCGGCAGGCCUAACACAUGCAAGUCGAACGAGUGGCGGACGGGUGAGUAAUGUCUGGGAAACUGCCUGAUGGAGGGGGAUAACUACUGGAAACGGUAGCUAAUACCGCAUACCAUCAGAUGUGCCAAGAUGGGAAUAGCUUGUUGGUGGGGUAACGGCUCACCAAGGCGACGAUCCCUAGCUGGUCUGAGAGGAUGACCAGCCACACUGGAACUGAGAUACGGUCCAGACGCCUACUGUAGGCAGCAGUGGGGAAUAUUGCACAAGGGGCACAAGCCUGAUGCAUCCAUGCCGCGUGUAUGAAGAAGGCCUUCGGGUUGUAAAGUACUUUCAGCGGGGAGGCGUUACCCGCAGAAGAAGCACCGGCUAACUCCGUGCCAGCAGCCGCGGUAAUUC